UUUUGUAUUUAAUGUGUUCUAGCUAAUUUCUGCGUGCUCUGCCCCACUCUACUACAUAUUUUCUGUUUGCCAACCCCCAUUUGCAUAGCUUUCGAAAGUGGUUAAAACGUGGAAUGAAUUUCCACAACGAUAUCUAUUUCAAAAAUCCAUCUCUGAAACAGCAAAGCAAACAUGCUAUUUAUUCCAUAAAAACAAACAAAAAAAAAAAAUAAAAUCGAACAGCUGAUAUCAUCGUUGCAGCAGCCAACAGCCACUGUGCAGCAAGCGCCCCCUUUUGGCCAUGAUUUGUCAGUAAAUUUUACCGUGCGUAAAAUUCAGAUAUCUCCAUCGACUAUACUCGUGUAAAUUGAACGUAAACUGAAGCAAACUUAAUGCAGCCGCUGCAGCGGAAGGCACACUGAAUUCAUAUUGACGAGUUCAUGGCAGCGAUAGCAUAUCGUAAUUGGUCACAAAAGCGAUAAUUGAAGAAACACACAUAACUCAACUAAAACAACAACAAACGUCGAAUAUACGCAAAAACCGAACGAUUAUAGAUAGAAAAGCAAUUUAUUUCGCAAAAAAAAGCACAGUGAAGAAAAACCAUAAAAUAUAAAGGUAAAUAAAGCUGACAAAAGUCAACAUAACAAAUAAUAGAAACAGAAAAGAGAAUUCUUCAACGCGCACUUUUCCUGCUGUUGCGCUUCGAUACGUGCCGGCGUACAAAUGUAUAAGUGCAUAGAGGACAGCAUCUUGUAAGCAGUAAAUAUAGUACAUAUACAUAUAUGUAUAUACAUAUAUAUAUACACGUAUGCGCAUCGUGAUCAGCUCGUCCUUACCGAACUCGCAGCAAUUCAACCAGUGGCCUUGCUCCGUUCUACGCGCACAACGUUCAUCCUUUCACAUCGUUUAAGACACAAACUAUCAAUCGAAUAUGAUGCGUAAAACCUGAUUUAUGCAUCUGCCAUCGCACUGAAUUAUGGAUUUAGCAGAUCAAAUCGAUGAUUAUAUUUGUUCAUUUGAAGGAAUUGGUGAUUUAACAAUGGACUCACUAGCAAUGUUCAUAUUUAUUUGGGCUGUAUUGGCCCUCUUCUUAGUAUGGCUGUGUAAAUUUUUAUACAAUAAAUAUGUGGUAAAUAACAACAAAACGCCGACAAGUCAGAGCAACAGUCGGCAGAGCAGUGUGGCGCCCGGUGCUGCCAGCACAACGAAAACUGAAGCAAGCAAACGACUAUCCGAGCCGAGAGAAGUGAUGGCGAGCAAAGCGGAUUUUAAGGACUUAGCUGCCAAACCCGGUGGUGCUGCACGCGGUCGCGCGCCCGGUGGCGGUGCUGCAGGUGCAGCUGCUGGUGCUGGCGCACGCCGCCGCAUGGUGCGACAGGGCUCUACUGGACCGGAAAGCCGCAAAAAACGUUAUGUGCCGCCACCCUCCAAUGUUGUUGGACCCGAAACAACUUCCGUUACUUGGACCAGUCAAGUGUUCCGUUGGCUUUACAGCGAUCUUGUGAUAGUCAACGAAUUGCUAACCUCUUGGGUUAUAGCCUUAAAUGAAACUCUGAAGAAAUCGAUGGAAGAGCAUGGCGUCGCAGUGGAGGUGGUGCGCGUGCUGCCCGACAGUCCACCACCCAGUUUGAACAAUAUAUUUUGCAACUGUGAUGAAACGAAUCCUUCAAAUAUGCUGAUCACCUUCGAUUGCGAUGCACAGCCGGUGCUGCAGGUAAAGACGUAUCGUCAAAAGGCGGGCAAGGUUGACACCUCGCAUUACAAAGUGACCAUCUCCCGCUUCCGUGCGCGAAUGGCUACCGCCAUGAAUUACAACACACUCAAGGGCGAGAUGAAGGUGGAGGGCUAUCCUGAUAUCCGCGUUGCCAUGAAUAGUGUGGGCGCCAUCAAGCCAAUGGAUCAAGAUGAGCAGCAGCUGCAAGGUGUCAUUAGUGACAUAAUCACCGCCACACUGCGCGACACUGUCUAUCCAGUCGACUUUUCGGUCUACGCAACCUGCCCUCGGGCCGAGAUCGACCCGCUUGACAUGCCUCAAAACUUGGAGGGCUCUAAUUUGUCAGGUCUGCAGCCUAUGAUCUCUGGUCGUCGUUUGCUGGUAAAAAUUGUGAAAGGUGAAGGGCUGGCCGAAGCCAAGGACCCCUACGUUGUGGUGGAAAUGGACGAACCUGCACAAAAGAAUCAAACCGGCGCUCGGCAGGGUGCCACGCCUUAUUGGGAUGAGCAUUUCCUAUUUGAAUUGUCUCCACAAUCAGCGGAGAUUUUAUUCGAAGUAUAUGAUCGGCCUGCUAAUGGCGUCGAAACGGCCAAAUUCCUCGGUUUGGGUUUGGUGGGCAUUGAUGAGUUGGCCGUCGGGCCUGCAUCUACACAAGUGCUGACACUGCAGCCGCGUCCGUAUGAGACGAAUCCGGUGAGUGGCACCAUCACUGUGGACUUUGUGUUCAUUGAAGGUGCCGAAAUACCCGCUGGACCCAAACCGUACAAAUUGAAGGAGGCCUUGAAGAUCAGCACGCCAGUCAUUAACGAGCACAUGAAGAACGGCGCCGGUUUGGCUGAUGCGGCUGUACGCGCCUUACAGGAUGGCGCACUCUCCACAACCGGACAACCCAGCAAGAGCACACUAAUUAUACAUAGCGUCCAAAGGAACCAAAACAAUUCAAAUGCAUUUAAGGUUGAAGUGAACAAGGACGGCAGAAUCGAAGUGAAAGAGUCACCACAGGAAGAAGUCGACGGUGCUGUGACACAAAUUUUAGAAUCCCCAUUAAACGACAAUACGAGCGAAUCGUUGCCCACCGCCAAUACGACAGCGGAUAUCGAGCAAAUACAACAGGAAAUUUCGGUGGCGACGGACAUAACCGCCAGCCCCACAGACUCAUGUCCACCAAACGAUGUGUCUCUAGAUGAAUCGGGUGUGGCAUCAGGUAACAGCAGCGCUUUGGUUGCGUCCAGCGCCGAGUUUGGUCAACCGAAUGCCGCUUCCUCACCACAGGCACACAAUGGCUACUCACCAUACAAUGGCAACUCGACUACAAACGGUUCACAGAAUUAUGGCUAUCAAAGCAAUAGUUUGCCCCGCAAUGGUGCUGCGACUAGCACACCAUUAAGCAGCGCUGAGCUGGACGAGAGAGGACGGAGUAAGAAACGAAAUUUCUUUGGAACAUUAAAAAAACGUUUAAGUCGAUCCAAAACACGCACCCAUUCGGCUGAUCGUGGCGCUUUGACGCCGUCCCACAAUAAUAACGGUACCACCCCAACAGGAACACUUAACGGUGAUUCACGUUCAUUAUCUGUCGAUCGUGCUGUAUUGUCUAAAAGCAAUUCACUUGGCUUACGCGCUGGUUCGUCACGACUUGAUCACUCAAGGCAAUCUUCAAUUUCAGAAUCGUCCGCAAUCUCAGGUUUCUCGUCAGCCAGCAACAAAACGUACGUACAUGAAGCAUCCACGCUGGUGCUGGAGACGAUCGAGAAUGGCGUGAAGCGGCAUUUCAUUGUGCCGCUGGCAAUCGCACAACGGCCCAGGUGGCGUCGCAAAGGCACAAAACUGCACAUUUACAAUGACCACACCUUUAUCGCCAAACAUUUGAGCGGUGGCGGCUUGCAAUGCCAAGUCUGCAUGAAGUCCAUCCCGCGACGACCGGGCAAGCAGGGCUACGAAUGUCGUGACUGCAAUUUGAUCUGCCACAAACAAUGCCACAUACGCGCACCACAGGCGUGUCCGAAUCCUACAGUGCUUUCAAUGGAAUUGACCUCAUUUCCGGUACUCACAGAACAAGAUAUACUCUAGUCAACUUUAUAUUUGAAUUUCUAGCGCUCAUAAGUUUUAUUGUCAUAAAAACUUUGAAUUUUUCAUUGAAAUAUACAUACAUUGAUUGAUAUGUUUUUAAUUUAUGCGAAAUACUGGAGAAAACAUUUUCUUUCAAAAUUCAUAAUUUUAAAAAAUCUCACAACAAAGACAAAUAUCUUAAGCUAGAGAAGUUGAGUUUUGAGCUUUUUACGGCUUUUACGAAAUUGUUUCUAAACUUUCAACCCGCAACGCUUUCGCAUUGAAAACCAAUUAACUUUUACGCUUCAACCGCUUUUUUAAAUAUUGUUAUUUUGAAAAUGUUCAUAGGAAGUCAUUAUUCACUUCACUUAAACGAAAAAUUUAAGAAUUUCUUUGUAUCAAAACAUUUUGAAGUUUUUAAAUCAAAAUUAGUUGUGUAACUUAUAAUUUUGCCUUCAACCGACUAUAUUUUGUCAUUUAUUUAUUGUCACACUGAUUCUAAUUUUUAAGACGUAUCACUCACAAAAGGUCAAGAACUGUUGGCCGCAUGCUCAUACAUAUAAAACUUGCUUUCAAAAUCUUAAGUUGUAAAUGGUUUCCAUAUACAUAUAUGUAUGUAUGUAUCUUCAUGGUAUAUAACAUCUGCUAUACAUACGCUUGUCAUCUAACUGUUUACACAACCCAAAAUAAUGCCAAUCCGCACUUAACCCAUGCACUCUAUUAACACAGGACGAUGACUUCUAAUGAAAUAGCUCUAAAAACGCCAGCAUCCACGCUUAACUAACCAUUCUAUAAACACAAGUUUGAAAACAAUUUCACUGUCGUCAGCUUUAUACACGAGCUUUUCGUGCAAGCUCAAGUUGCAAUAUGCUAUACAUACAUACAUAUUUUCAUGAGUUUUGAACUCAAAAUCGUAAAAAUUUUCCGCCGAAGCCAUAAUAUUUAAAGCUCAAGCUGUAUUCAAUACUCAGAAGUCCAUAAAAGUCAAUAAGGUACUGCGUAAUUCGGCGCCUUGUUUCAUAGAUCGAAACUUAAUUCUGCCGCUGCGGAUCGCAGUAUAAGAAAAUUAUGAAAGCGUAUAUAAUGCACAAACAUCCACAACCAUCUAUGAUCCGUCACAAUAGCCUCGGCGCAGCACACCGUACCAGCACCGCAGAAAGAAAGGAACACAUUCGAACUUAUCCACAAAGGUUCCGGGGGACAGGUCGAGCGGUUACAAACAUUUAACGUUUUAUUUUGCUGUUAUUUCAUGUAAUACUUCUAGUUUUUUUUUAAAGAAAAUUUCAAAUACUCGCACACGACAAACUACAUAAUUGAUCAUUGCAAAAAAUUUAGAUGCUAAAAUCUUAAUUACGUCGGAAAUUGCAUGCUAACUAUUUUUUGUUAUAUUUUUUACUUCUCUGUGAAUUUAUUCUCACUUACUUUGUGGUAAAGAAAAUUUUCACUUAUUUGUAUAUUUUUUCAUGGUAAGAUUUUGUUUUAAGUUAUAGUCAUUAUGUUAUUGCAAUUGCAAUAUAUUAACUAAGUCUCUAUCAAAAGUUACAGUUUUUAACAAAUAAUAAAAAUUCCCCGUUAAUUUUUUAAAUUUUGUAAACCAUAAAAAUGGGAAAUUUGUAAAGUUAAAAAAAAGUUUAUAAUUUUAAUACUUGUUUAUUUUAAACGUGCAAUAUUCACUAUAUAGUUUAAGUAAAUAAUUUUUUAAGAGCUUUUUUUGUAAUUUUAAAGUUUUUAAAUCUGUAAUUAAAAAAACUUAAAUCACGAAAACUGUACACAUUACAAACUAAACGAUCACAGUACGAAAACACAAAUGAAUGUUCAAAUAACGUAAUUAUUAAAGCGAAUAUGUAUCAGGAAAAAAUAAAAACUGGUGGAUUUUUAAGCGAAACUGCAAAACAA